GGAGAGGUGGCCGAGCGGUUGAAGGCACCUGCCUCGAAAGCAGGCAUACCCGUAAGGGUAUCGGGGGUUCGAAUCCCCCCCUCUCCGCCA
rnacentral:tRNA from 1 species